ACGAAUUCCGCAAGCAUUACCAUAGCCACCAUAGCCACGUGCGCACCAGAGCCAAUCACUGCAGAGCCCUAAUGUGUAGUGAUUGAGAUCCUGACCCACCAAACAUCCUGGAAAGGGACGAAGUUACGUUUUUCACUCUAAAUUACACAAUUAUUACAUAAUCACCAGCAGUAAACUGGACGCUGUCUGACUCGCAGGACGGAGAUUGUUUUCCGGUGGAAAGUAAACUGAUGUCUCGGUCCGGAGGGCUGACGGUGGCGGUGAUUUUUGAUCACAAACACUCCGGCUAAAUAAUAUGUCCUGCCCAGUUCAUUUACUAGGCUCUGCUACAAGUUACUCUGUUUAUGCUGCCAGGUUGUAGUUCACUUUCUUCUUUCAGAAUUUAUAUGCGCUGACCAUGAGGUGUGGCACUGUCACAUUAGUGGAAUGGGGUUCAUCUCCCUACAGUGUCCUUGCUAAAAGCCAAAUUAUAUGAAAACACAAUAGUUAUCAAUCUACACAUUUCACAAUAAACCUAAAUGUCCCUGACGUCCCACCUUCAAAUACAGCCUCAUUUGGCCAUCCAUGAAAAAGCUACUUAACCUCCCACUUUUCUAUAGCAAUACAUUCUUCCUACGGGCAGUGCACUAGUACCCCAUGAACGGCGAAAGAUGCCGUGGCAUUUCAGAUUGUAUCUUGUGUGCACACAUUUUAAGAGCUUGUUGCAGUGAAACGUGGCCUCACUAGCCUACUUUUGUUUUUCUCUCAAUGGCCUCUGGGGCUUUUUUUUAUAAUAAUAAUAAUAAUACUACAUUUUAUUUAAAAAAAAGCGCUUUUCUGAAUACUCAAAGACACUGUACAAUAUAAUAUAAGAAGAAUACAAGAACAUCAAUCAGUAAAACAAUAUAAAACAGUACAUUACCUACGUUAAAAACACAUGAGACUGAGCUAGAUUUUAAAAGCCAUUUAUAGUACAAAUUUAAAGUAGAAUUAAAUGAAAAAUACUCAAUUACAGUACAAGUACCUCCAAAUGUAUUUAGGAACAGUACUUAAAUACUUACAUUGAAUUUAUUUGUGGUACUGCCCCUUAUAACAUUUCAAAGAUUUUGCUUUUCGUUGUGUUAUGUCACUCACAUGCAUACAUAAUGACAAUAAACAAGCCUUAUCUCCCCCAAAAACAUUUUAUUACCAUAUACAAAUUACUUUCACAAAUAAAUCAUGUAUAAAGACAAAAGUUCUCAUCAAUAUAAUAAUCCAGGAAAAUUCUGAAAACCGUAAAAGCAUUGUUUAAGGCAUUAUGGGUCUUGUGAAAUGAAUUCAAGCAGCAAGUAGCCCUUAUUUUGAGGAGAUAUAUUCAUUUGACUUAAUAUAUUCCUCUAUAUGUUGUAAUAUCGGUUAAAUAUUCUCUGGAUAUAUAAAACAUUAGACAAGUAAAAGCAUUAUCACCCCAAGAUUUAUCUUAAGUCAAUACCAGGCCCAAAGAAAAUGUAGGUAAUAAAAACAGCAUUUUGAGUUAAAAAGAAGUAACGGUAAGAAAAUCCACUUUAGAUGUUAACACCACUGAUAAUGUUGAUGCCAGGAUGAGGAGUCACAUGAAGGAUUUAGUCAAUGUGAUAAUAACAGAAUUCCUGCUGCUCAGGCAUAUUGAGUUAGAAACCCAGGAGGCUGAGGAGAACAAAAGGGAGGAACGGGGGAGAACAGCUCCAGAGGCCGAAGAGGUGAACACUGUGUGGAGUCACACUCGAGCGCUGCAAGACUUGAAGACUUGGGGUCAAAGACAUCACUGUUCUUAUUGAUAAUCUUUUUCUAAAAGUAAACAGUUUCAUUGUAUUGUGUAAAACCAACACAUCUGUAAAGCUAAGCCAAGUCCAAUGAUGAAAACUCUGAAAUAUUCUCGACUCAAAAGCCCACUUACUAGCUUUUGUUUUACCUCGACAAAGAUGCACAGCUCAGCCUACCAAGUGUGAAGGAGAAACUACGGUGGCCCUUUUUUUGGUUUGUCCAUUUUGGGCUAGUGUAGAAGGCCUCCGUGGAAAAGGACACGCUGCCACUGUAGAUAAAAACGUCUACACACCUUUCUCUGCUGGUUGCCUGGCAACCUCAAUGUGCCCGACCAAUAGAUAGUCCAAGACAUAACGCCACGUAAAACUACAACUUCCUGUUUUUACACAUCAGUUUAAACAAACAAGAUUUAAUGUAUUAAUUACUGAGUUGACAGAGCUAGGCUAGCUUUUGACCCCUGUUUUCAGUCUUUAUACUAAGCUAGGCUAAUCAGCUACUGGCUGCAGUUUUACAUAAACCGAAACCAGAAAUGUUUUAAAAUAAAAUAAGCCCUUUUUUAUACAACAGUUUUGGUUUUGUCACAUGAGCGAUUUCUAUAUUUGUACUUUUGUCUUGUGUGGGCGGGGCUCAGUUGGACCAAUCAUAAUUUAACAUUAUUAGAACCGGAAACCAAAUUUCACCACAGUCCUUGUUUGCUCAUGUUGCCAUGGUAAUGACGCUGCCAAUUCAAUCUGAUCAAACUACUCCCUCACAUUCCCGAUGAAGCAGAUUUAGUUUUUACGUGUUGAUCUCUUAACAAAAAUAGCUAAGGAACAUUUUAAAUGUGAAACCUGAUGCUUUAACAACAGCUCUUUAAAUAACCAAUACAUUCAACAGCUGUUACAUAUAUCAAAGGAAUGAACUAGAAUAACUGCACAUAGCUAUCCGUGUAGACGUAGCUAUAAACUGGGAGCAGGUAUAGGAAGAGAGAAAGGCUCAGUAAUGUAAUGUAGAACUACUGGAAUAAUCUUUACAGCACCAGGCUUAUUAUUCCAGAGUGAGUAAUGCCCUGCCUAUAGACAGCAAUAAUGUAAACGUUUGUGACGGGCUAAAACAUGUAGAAACAGCAUUGUUGUCCUUUAGGUUUUGAGGUAUUUGAGAUGUGGAUUCUUUAAAUCCACAUCUGCAACUCAAUGUAGUAUUUUGUACAUUCAGUAUCUGUAACACUUCCAAAUAUAAUUUAAUGAUUAAUAAAAAAAAUUAAAAACCCUAUAUUAGACAUUUAAUAUACUGUAUUUAGAUAGGUCACUUCGCUUAAAACAAAUAUCUGUCAAUGAAAACUAUCACCAUAUAUAUAGUAAACAACCAGCUCCACAUAUUUUAUAGAAUGAAAAAAGUUAUUUUUAAAGGAUUGGCAUUUCAUUACAUAUUUCCAUUCUUUCCACCAUCAGGGACAGACAGUAAGGCACUGAUGCUCGUCAUUUCCUUUGCUAUCACUGGAAGUUCUUCGGCAGGUUGGGAGCUUGACUUGAGACGCUAGCAGAAGAUAUUAAUAUUGUCAAAGUGCAGCAGAAACAAUAUGCACAGGCAAAAAUAAAUAGUUUAUAAUCUUUAAAUGUUUCUUAAAACUGCGAAAUAACAAGUCACCCACGGACAACCCCCACUGACCUGCCAGAGAGUCCCCUUUUCUUUAGCCAGUUUGCAGACCAUGGUCACUGGAAUCAUGGUAAGAGAUGACAUGGCUAAAAACCAGCCGACACAGUACGCCCACCACGGAUACACGUAGGAGUUGUUGAACGUCAGGGGGGUGUAUCUCAGGAGCAGAAAUAUAAGGGUGCCCUUUAAAGGUAAUCACAAAUAUAGAAACAUGACUGGGUUCAAAAGGAAAGGUAGUUCCUGUAAAUAGAAUUUAUUAUUGACUGCUUUAAAUGCUUACACUGCAGAUAAGAGGGGUGCCAUACAUCCAGCUGUAUUUGAUCAGUGACAGAGGUUUAUACCCAAUCAUGUCCUCGAUGUUGUCACUGAAGCGUUCAGCACCUAGAACAGAAACAAACAUAUUAGAUAAGCUCUGUCCCAGCUCCAUAUGUCACAUACUAUAUACUGUAGUAUGUGGUAUUCAAAGUGCCCGUCCGGGGGCCAUUUCCGCCCCCCUCACUCCAGCCUGUGACAUGAUGUCAAAAAAAGAAUAGAAUCCAUCCUGCAAUAUUAUUUCUAAUUAUUUUUCUAGUUAUUUCAUAUCAAUUUAAACUAAAUAAUGGCACAAAAUAAUGUUAAAGGUGCCUGAAAUGCAUGCAGACGGCUGAUGAGAAGAAAGCAGGUCUUGGGCCUUCAUUUGUUGUUUGGCUGCAACCAACAAAGAUGAUACAAAAUGUAGAGAAAAUGCUGUUUGCAUUGUUUUGGGGAGUGUUAGAGUUAGUAAUGAAAAUAUUUUCACAAAAUUGCACUCUCUUGUAGGUCUUGAAUGUUGAAGUAUGAUGUAGUGAAUAAUAAAUGUCACUGUUUUGGCAGUAGGUACACAAGAUAUUAUUGAACUUUUACCAACAGGAAAUGACAUCCUGCCACAUGCAGUCAAUCAUCCUGUUGCUAGUAGCAACCACUACUGAGAAAGUUCUACAGCAUUUACACUUUUCCACCAUUUUGUCAGAUCUGUGACCAAUACUGACAGAUAUCUGUUAUCUUCUCUACAUUAGAGUCUCACAAAAACUGAUGAUAAAAACUGAGAUGUUAAAUGAGUUUUUCUGAUCAGUUUUGUGUGAACCAAGCUAACCACUAAACCAUUUCUCUGUGGCAACAUUUUGGAUCAUUAUUAAUUUACUGUUCUCUUAGUAAAGUCUUACGUGGCUCUUCUGAACUAUCUUGUCUUCUGCUCUAAAUACUGAAAAAAUAUCAUAGCCAGCGACCCAAAACAAGCAUAUCUCGAAACUGACCCACCCCAAGGUUUUAAAAUAUAUACUGGAGAUAUGGAUAGACCGUUCUGACACGAUUAAAUUGCACUGAGACGCCUAGUCCUUAGUUUUUAUAUCCUGAAAGCCAGAAGGUUGACAAACACAGACAAUCUGUACUUCCAACUUGUGCGUAACCAUUGAACCCAUUUUCAUUUAGAUAUCUUGAGGUCAGAGGUCAAAGGAUCUCUUCGAAAAUGUCCACGGCAGUUUUUCCUGUUGCCAAAUUUUAGCCUAACUUCUUUAGUUCCCUUCCCAACAUGCUAGCACAGCAUGGUUGGUAACAAUUGAUGUGUAAGCUCAUCUAGUUUCAUAUGUAUCAUCCACUCUAGCUUUAAAACAAAGCUCGCUACAGCCUCUGAAAGACAAGGAUAAUGAGGGUGGCCCCCCAGGCCCCCCUCUGGACACAUCCCUGUGUAUAAUUAGUAUGAUGUCAAUGUUACACACAAAAGCUAAAGACAGUCAUGCCACUGAAAACUCUACCUUACCAUAAAUCCAUCCAACAAUCACUGACUGGAAGAUUGCCAUCAGAAGAAGAGUGGGACCACUGCAUACAUAGUGAUCAAAGAUCUGCAGAAUGUAUGCGCCAGCCUAAAAUUAAAACAGGUUAUCAAUCACCUUUUAUUUUGUGCUAAGUAAACAGCUCCUACUGAUGUCAGUCUUCAAUAAGAAGGGGGGAAAAAAGUGGGGUUAAAAGGCGUUAACUGAUCAGACUGCACACGAUAAAUCGCUUAAAUGACCACCAAUUAAUGUACUUCUUACAGCUUACCUGUGACACCAAUAACUGGCCAAACACAUAGCAAACUGCACAGAUCAGCAGCAGGAGGAGCUCUCUGCGAUAUCCUUUUCGGAUCUGGGAAGGGUAGACAUCCGUUAGAGAGGUCAUGAUGCUUUCAAGCCCAGCAAACUGGAGAAUGAUAGAAAGACAAGUUAGUGUAGGGACAGUUAAAGAAGAAACAUUACAGGAAAUGUUUGGGAGAAACGAGGAAGGCUGCAACCGACCUGACCGUCUAUUCCUAACAAGAUGAUCAUGGCGAAGAAGCACACGGACCAGACCUGAGGCCACGGCAGGAGGGUCACAGCUUGUGGGUAGACUAUGAACACAAGACCAGGGCCUGCAGAGUGAAACCAAUUCAUUUAAUGCAGAUUAGGACACAUGCUGAAGGUUACCUGCGGGUCAGCGAGCCGUGCAGGAUUGGGUUUCAGGUAGUACUUGAUACCAUGGAGGGCUCCAGGAAGGGUCAUUCCUCUGAGAAACAGCACCAUCAACAUGAUGAAGGGGAACGUGGCUGUGAAGUAGGUAGCCUAUAGAUUUAAGGAGAAGAUGAUGAUUGUGUCAUAAAUCAAAGACACUAAGAUUGUACACGUGGGAAAAGUUUGCUUGAAACCUUAGGAGCAAUUCUGUGAUGUAAGUGCAUCUUUUGGUAGUUUUGUAACACACCAAGAAACUCUUUCAUAACCCAACAGUGUUGCCAGUACAUUGGGUUUUUAUUACCAUCCUGGGUUUUCGACACAGCCGACAAACAGCUGCAAAAAAACAUAUAAAUGAUCACUUCGGGUGUGAUUUAGGACUUCAUAUCUAACUGACUCACUGCACACUCCUUAUAAAGACAAAACAAUGUAACCAUAUAAAGCGACAGAAAUUCAGGGCACAAAAGAAAAGGUAAACCUGUGUUCACAAAAUCUGUUUACAAGAUGAUAGACUCCAAACUCUAUUAUCCUUAAAGGUGAGGGAAGAGAGGAUGCCAAUGAAGUUCUUAUCAUACUAUAGGAUCAGCUCAUAUCAUCUGAACUUGGGGCACUGGGGGAAAAAUACAGAAGUGGGGAGUGACUCACGUCAGGUAACUCUGAGGCACAGACACACAAGGAUCAUAUUUCAAACAUCUCUCAGAACAGACAUCCAGCAUUUCCAGUUCACUUUCUCACAAAUCACAGACCUCACGCCCGCCCUGCUUAACAACUGAACCGCUGACAAACGACAUGGCUUGUAGCCACUUUUCUCACCUUAGUGAAAAACAUCCUUAACACUGUCUUAUAACGCUCUGAGCUUUACAGAGAGUGGCAGGUGAACAUCGACAUGUUGCAUGUGGCAGCAGGUCUGAGGAAGCCACAGGUGCAAUACAUCGGUCUUAUUAUGGAGAUCUUGUUGAUGUGGCUUUUUAUUUAUCCUUGGGGAUUGCCAAAAUGUAUACUUCCACGUUACAUAUUACUUGAUAUGCCAUACAGUAGAAGUAAAAAUAUUAUAGUGUUCAUUUAUUUGUUGAUCUUGCCUCUCAGUCUAUUUUAACCCCUGAAACUCCUGAUAUCUGAUUGGCCACCAUAUUAUCAUUAAGUCUUUCAGAGGCUGAAUAUAUUGUCAGAAGCCCAGGAUGUGCCCAAAUAACCAACGUAUGCCUGGGCCUGCCCCUGCUUACGGAGUACAGGUGGCUCCAGAUUGGCAAUUUCAGACCGGGUCUUACCUUUCCCGAGGAUCUCACUCCCUUCCAGACGCAGAAGUAGCAGAUGAUCCAGGCCAGAAGAAGACACAAAGAAAGUUCCCACUGUAUGCUUCCCAAGACCUCAAUGCCAGUGGAUAUAUUCAGCACCCGUCGUCUGUAAGGACCAAGGUGGCCCAUGGUAGCUCACCAGAGAAGGAAGAGAACAGGUAGAGGAAAGCCCAGGCUAAAAUCACAAUGUAGCUGAUACUUCCAUAGAAAAUAAUAAUUUGACUGGCGUAUCCCAUGCCUGGAAACAACAUAAAAUGUUAACAUCGUAUUGCCAUAGUAUUUCCUUCUUAACUCUGCUCAGUACAUCACAAUCUUGGCAGGUGUACCUCACCUUCAAACAAGGGGCAGACCUUCCUCCAGCACAUGAUUCCUCCCUGACUGGUGUACUGGCCCAGUGCUGUCUCCAGUACAAACAGAGGAAUGCCACAGGUCACCAGGAACAGGAUGUAAGGAAUGAAGAAUGCACCUGCAAAUGGAUAAAUGUAAUUGGUUAAUGGGAGGACUUCUAUGUGAUACAUUUGAGACCUGCUGAUAGACCACAGGUCUUUUUCACAGAAGACAUUUUGACAUGUUGCAGCAGGAAAAGCACAGAUGUGAAUAAUAAGUGGUCUGCACUUAUAUAGUACUUUUCUACCUUAAAGGACACUGCGCCUUACAAUUUGCCUCUCAUUCACCUAUUAACACACACACUCACACACUGAUGGCGACGGAGCUCCCAUGCAAGGUGCUGGCCUAUUAAAGUCAAGAUUGUCCAUAAACAGGACACCUUGGCUGUGGAAAUUACUCUAUAUUUACUAUAUAGUGCACUACAUUUACUGUGUGAUUUAUCCACUACAUAGUGCCUUCACAAAUUCCACAAUGGACUUUGGAAUUUGUGACAUAUCAAUAUAUACAUAAAAUAAAAAUAAAAAUAGAAAAUAGUAAAAUGUAAUAAAAGUCCUAAUCCUACAAUGCAAUAUAGAAUCCAAGCCAUGUUUAUUAUAAAAUGUCCUUUUACUGCUCGCUAUUAAGAAAACCUUUGAUUGUCUCUUAUGCAGCAUCUAUCUAUCAAUGAAUUAUUGUCUGUAAAAAGGUUAAAGUGAGCAACUGACAUGACUAUUCAGACAUGUAAAUGAUUGUAAAUAUUUCCUUAUACAAGCCAUAGACAAGGAGAAUUGCAUGGUGAUGGCGGAGUUUGAAAUUAAAAGUGACUCCACCGCUGGAAAGGUGAUGCAUCCAUACAAAUAUGUCUACUCAUUACUUCACCACCAAACACCUACGUCUUUGCUGGCUUUCCCCCUCUGCUCUAGUUCUGCCAGAUAUUACAUUGUGUGUGUCAGCACAAAGUCACGACAGAAUGAGAGAAACACAACUUUAUUUAUAUAUUGCAGUACAACAGAUUAGGUACAGUAAAGGUUAAAUGUAAGACCAAGUAUAUAUACAGUGUUCCAUAAUGAACAUGGCCUCUGGACUGUUAUUGUACUGACUUACGUGGUUGGAUGUAAGCAAUAGUGAUUUGUAUGUAUGAUAGCCUAUAUGCACAUGUUUUCAUCUGAAUAAAUUAAUUAGACUUUCAGUUAAAAUAUCUCAUUCUUAAAUUAAGUAAUUUAACAAGAAAAUACUUUAGUGUUUUCAGUAGUUUCCAUGUAAUUUGACCCAGUGACUCCAAAUCAGUACCAUACUUUAUAACUACACCGGACAAAUGAGACACCUCUUUUUAAUGCCAGUAUCUCCAUACCAGCAGUUUCUUAAAUUCGUUUGUGACCUUUUGGUCGGUACACUGAUCGGUCAAUGAGCUUGUUGCAGACAAGAGAAGUCCCGCCGUUCCCUAGGGCUACAAAACACCCCUCCUCAAUCUUUUUGCACUUCACCUCACUUAGCCUGACAACAGCAGAAUGAUUAAACUGUGUACAGAAGGCUACCUAGCUCUCUCUACCUUUUUUCUGCAUUGCACUUGUUACACAACUAGUCACACUCCCUGCCGUUUAGUUUAGCACCUCUUUAGCACUGUCACGCAAACGAUUUGCCUGUUUAGCAUGCCAACUUGUAAAGUAAAAUGGCUCCAGAAAAGCGUGUCUAGCAAAGCCAGUAUAGCUAGAAUGUCCUAGUAUUGCCCAUGUUUGGGCAGCCGGAGCCCCUGAGGAGUUUUUCCUCUCUUGGAAUGGAUACACGCAAUGCUUGCCCAGUUUGUCUUGGCAUGUUGCAUGUGAAAGCUACAGUCGUUAGCCCAGAGACCUUUGCGAGCUGUUGCCAACUCAAGAAGAAAAUCCCAACAAUCCUCUCCAACACCAAACACAAGCUCCCUGGCCCCAACGUUGUAUUGGAGCUCUCAUGGUCCUGGGCCCCAAGGCUUCGCUCUAUCUCUGCCAUUUACUCAAUUCUUGAAUGUGGAGGUACGAAGUCUAUUGGACAGACCAACAUCCCUCCGAUAGACAAGACACUAGUGGUGGUGGCGCUGAAGCCCAAACCCACUUUCCAGAUGCAGACCGCUUGUGCGCUGAAUACAGCCUCUAUGCUGCAAGCUUACCAGACUGAGAAGGACCUGCUCAAGACUCUGGUAAAGAAGGAAAAUGCAGCCAGGUGUUUGAUUACAUACACAGAUUUGCUGAUUUCAUUUUCUGGCUCUCCAGCACAGCAGCUGUAGCCCUGGGGAAAGGCAUGGCCGAAGUGAUGGCUAGCCAGCAUUAGGGUUUGGUUACGGAAACAGGACGCCAAUAUGGCACUGGUUUCUGUACAACCAGACCAAAGCACAAAGCAGAUGUCAGUGCUUGGUUUUGGUACCAGAGCUGUCUAUUGAAAUAGUUGUGCACUGGUGCAAAUGUUACAGACAACAGAGAUAUCACCACUUGUGUGCCAUCACCAAUUAUCAUUAUGGCGACUCUCUCUACAUGGCUCAGGCAGCAGGUACUGUUAGAUAGUAGCUGCCUUAAACACAGUAAAAUGCUGAGCUAAAUGGUCUAAAGUGUGAUUGUAUUUUACUCGAAAGGAUUCCAACACCAGGCGGGAUGUGCAACAGAUGUUUCAGAAAUAAUUACAAGUAAAGGGGGGGAGCAUGGGAUAAAGUGGAUCCACUAGAGGAAUCCAGUGUUCGACUACCUGUGUGACCCCAUGCCAAGCACAUCAGCUGGUGUUGUGGGCAUCUAUGACCCUUAUUUUGCACUGGACAACUCUAAUAUGAUGUUGCGCCCUAAAAACAUCCCUAAGGUGCCUGUCUUGCCAUAUAAAACAUUAGCUUGCGUUAAAACUGAUCCCCUUCACCUCCCCAGUUUGUGCCGAGGGGGUGCACACUGACUCCACCAGGACCUUGGCUGCAUCUUAGGCUCUUUCUAAAGGAGUUUGAGUGGAGGAUGCCUGUUCCGCUGCAAGCUGGGCUUCUCCACAUACUUUAAUGAAAUGUUAUUGCCAAACAACAUAGGAUGUCACUCAGUCUGUGCUCUCAGCAGGGGAGUGAUGAAGCUGACAUAACUGUUGCACCUAUCAUGAUGGGAAGGCGUGCAGUGAUACAAAAAGAUCAAGUAACAUGCCUGCUUGUAAUGUAAGGAAUAUGAGGUACUAGGGGUGUGCAUCUCUCCAAUAAAAGACGAUUCGAUGCGUAUCUCGAUACAUGGGGUACGAUACGAUUCAGGAACGAUAGAUUUAAAAUGGAACGAUUCGAUUCAGUUUGAUUCAGAAGGAUUUCGAUUCGGCACGGCACGGCUCAAUUAGAGAGGGUAUGAUGCGAUGGAUUUCUUGUUGAAAGUAGACAAUCAUUUCAUAAAAUGAAUUAACUUGUGUCAAAUGUGGCAUUUCCCUUCAAAAAGAUUUAUCAAAGACUAGAGAAGAAGUGUAUUUGUAGUUUUUGUCAUGUUUAUUAACAUGUAACAACACGUAAGAGCUCUCCAACUCAAUUAAAUUCAAAGAAACAACAGAGAGAGAUAUGUGUAGCCUCAGAUCAAGGCACAAUGAGCUAGUGAGGUAGAACAUAAAAUUUCAAGACAUCCCUUGUUCAUUUUUGUCUGAAAGAGAACAAAGUGGCUAACUGUAAGUAAGCAGAUUAUCAGUCAUUUAAAGUGCUGUUUUGACAAGCAUCUGCUCAAUAAAAUCCUCCACUAGUAA